rnacentral:pre_miRNA from 1 species
AGAGGCAUUGCUGGGUUAUAUGGUAACUGAAUGUUUAACUUUGUAAGCAACUGCCAAAUUGUCUUCCAAAAUGCCUGUACCAUUUUGCAUUCCCACAAGCAAU